UGACAUGAAUGCAGUCCCUGCUACCAAAGUUCAUGCAGUCUGGUUCCCCACGUAGUGGUAAAUCAGAGGUGUGGUGUGUUUGAGGUGCAAGAAGUGGAUGGAAAAAAGGCAACAAGCUCUAACAACACUGUGAUGUGUUUCCCUUGCCAGCCAGCCCUGGAAGAAGGGGAAAGUGCUCAGUGAUGUCCUUCAAACACCAUGCCUGCACCUAGAUGGGCUUUGGCUGCUGCACUGACAGCACAAGCACAGCAGGAAGCAAGUGGAAAUGGGCCCUCAGGGCUCUUGGACCAGGAGAACUUUUCUGAGCUAUUGCUGCUGCACGGCCCAGCCUAUGGGAAGUAUUGACCACAGAGACCCUGUCAGAUCCACCAGAGGCAACAAACUGCUGUAUAUCUGAAACAAGAAACUGCGCACCUUCACCAGGAUGCCUUUUGCCUUGAGAGCUGGAAAGAAAGGUUGUGAACGUUAAGAGCAUCUAAGAAAUACCGUGUGUCGCUUUUCCAUAGCAAAGGUAAGAGAUCUAGGCAAAUACUGCUGGUACCUGCAGUUUGGGGGGAGACUAUAUUAGUGGUUAGCAGCUAAGUCUUUCCUCACUGGUGAGGUGUUGCACAGCCCUCAGCAGACAGUGAUUAGAAACACACUCGAAAGCGCCAGUUGUUCCCCCUGCACCCAGAGCAACGUGAGAGUCCACUGUGUUCCUUAAUAACCCGGCACAGAUGGUGCAUUGCAUGCUUUGGAGGACUCUGACCGCUUCUCUGCUUAGUGCAAAACCUGCUGCUGCUUCUCAGUGAUAGAAAAACAAGAAAAUGUCCUGUUUGGGCUAGAUUGGAGUCUGUAAUCCUGGUGCCAUCAGUCAGAUUGAAAGGCCAGUUCCUUAAAAAGGAAAAAGCUCAGUUGUUACACCAUGAAUAUAUACACAUGGAUAAAGCAGAGAAGGCUUUGACGUUCACAGCCCUUUGUGCAACAUUCCUGUCAUAUCACAAACACAUCAGCCUAAAUGCUUUGCUAAUUGUGUUACGCUCCAAAGCAGUCAGGGCCUGAUGCUGCCCAUGAAGACCAACAGCACACAGCUGCCACGUGCUUUGCAAAACUUGACCUCAGCUGUGCAGCUUGAUGCGGGUACAUGGUUUAACAUUGUAUACCUUCAGAACAGGGAGAAUCCAUGCAGACUUUCAUUUUAAGGUAAUUUCCCUACUGAGCACCAUUCUGAGGAUCAAAUCUGUAUUUUGACAUAUCUGUAGUAAAAACUUUGGUGCAGAGUUGUAACUGUAGGCAUGUGCAUGAAUCUCUGAAUCAAGGAGCCCAUGUGCCCCUGAUCAGUUUGGGAUGUUACCCAGAAAUAAAGCCCAACAGCAGCCCUUAAGACAAACAAACUUUAAACUGUAUUUCUUUGUUUAUAUCAUUAGGUAUGAUGCAGCCAAAGUUCAUAGUCACAAGGUUGAACAUCACCUAGCUGGAAAAAGCUAAAACAAAUGAACGGUGUUACUAAAUUAAACGUAUGUUGGCUAACAGCUAUGGGCUGCAGUGGCAUUCAGAGCCAUGGAGUGUGCGAUUCUCUGGCUGCCACCAAGACAGGGGCAUGUAGGUGGUUUGUGGCUGCUGAGAUAGCUUUGGUAGUGCUCUUGCUCCCGACAUGCAUGAUGGGCUAUUGGGUUUCUUCUCCACUGCUCCCUUUUUUGGGACAUUGCACAUAUUGGGCAAUGCAUAUGGUCUCCCUGACCCUUCCACCUCUUUUUCUUUCCUCAGCUUACACUCAAAAACUGAGAGAGGGUUGCAGAGUUCUGGUACACAACACUUUGCCAUUGGUAUAGAAAAAUGGUGUUUUGCAAAGAUGGCGGUGUGGGUAGAAGGGAUGUUCUUCAAAGACAGGUUUUACAUAUGAAAUUGCAUGUUGGGUCUGCUCUCUCCAGCAGCAUGCAUAAAGACUGGAUGUUGUGUUGAGGGACAUGGUUUAGUGGGAGCUAUUGGUAACAGGUGAACGGUUGGACUGGAUGAUCUUUUAGGUCUUUUCCAACCUCGGUGAUUCUAUGAUUCUAUGCUUUGGGAACAGCACUGUGCCACACCACCUGUGUGACUUAGGUGAUAUGCUACAAGAGAAACUGCUUCAUUUGGACAAGGAAACGCCAGCAUGGCACCCGUGGCAUCUUCACUGCAAGCAGAAAUGUAAGCAAGAGCAAAAAGCAUGGUUUGGGGUAUUGCUGAAGCAGUAGGCAAAUAUGCAGCUGUGAUGUUGAGAUCAGGGUGCCCCUGCUCCUGAACCCACUCACAGUCUGGACUGGCAGAAACCUUUGUGCUUGCAGCUUUGCGUCAUACCCUCUCUCUCUCUCCCUCUCUCUCCCAGACCAAUGCCGUGUGGCUUUUGCAUUAUUUUAUUCCCUUGUCUGCCUGUUUUUCUCGUAUGUGCGGGCUGAAGAUUUGGUCACGCUGUGUGCCUGCAGACUCACCCACAGGACAGACAGGAAAGAGCAGGAAGGCAGUGUUGUUCCUGGAAAUGUAGCUCUUGGGCUGCAGUACGCAUAGGAACUUGAUGUGUGUGCUGACGUUUCUGCAUAUGACAGCAGGCAUCGCUACCAGGUCUGGAUGCCACAGUGUCAUGGCCCGUUCUCUUGGUUAUCACCACACUUGUGUGCUACCUAGAAAUACAUUGCUCAGCUGCCUUACCUGUGAAAUGCCAGCGGGCUGCUGGGGAGUGCUCUGCUUUGCAGGGGGAGAGCACUGGGCUCCUUCUCCCUGGGCAUGCUUUCUCCUUUCACACCGAGUGAAAGCCACGGCAGGAACCUGCUCAUCUCCUCGUUCUGCCUUCUGCAGAGGGCAGCACAUGGCCGGGGCUCCCUCCCCUUGGGCCCACCCUGUGUGCUACCUCCACGUGCUCUGAAACGCUUCUUACGGCGCUGGCAGCGUGUCUGUGAGGUCUGCUGGCACAAUCAGGCUGGCUUUAAGUUGGGCUUGGAGCUGAGCAAAGCUCAGGAACAGAAAGCAUUUUAAAACCAUGUUUCACAGAAGAUUUGAUCUGAGCUCCAUUUGCAACAGUUGCAAAGCAGCAUUUUGUCAGUAUUGAACCUCCAGCUGCUCAGUAAUCAUUUCACUCAGCUCCGAUGGAGGACACAGAGCAAGGGGGAGGUGGGAUAUUUCCCAAACAUUCCUCUUUUUGGUUACACACCAAUGUUGUGGUGUUUUGCUGACAUGCUGGAGCCCCAGCCCAGCGAUUCAGGCUCAGCCUUUGGGAGAAGAGUGAGACCGCUCUGAGGAAAAUGAUUUAAAAUGCCUUCAGAUGCCUUUUCACUUGUUUUUAUUUAAUUCCAUAAAUAUUUUCAUAAGGCUCAGUGUCUUUACAACACUUUUUUAAACACUUUGUUUGUUUUGUUUUAUACACACAACUUUGACACUUGUUUGACAGGGUCAAACAGUCCAAUAUAAACAAAAUAAUAAAACUGGCAAGUGCGGAUCAGCUGGGUUACCAAAAUCCUUUUUUUUUUCUUUUUUUUUCUUUUUUUUUUUUUUUCUCUUACUGUUAAAACCCCAAAAGCACUAAAAUAUCAGUAUUUGGCUUCAAACUAGAAUUUUAAAAACUUUUUUUUUUUUUUAAAUUCUCUGCUACAAGUCCCUGUCAUCAUAGUGCCUUUAGACUCCUACAGACUCUUCUUUUCUUCUCAAGGAAAAAUAAGCUCAGUGAUGCCAUGCAGAACUUACAAUAGCUACUAAAUAUACAUGUUCCCUGAAAUGUAGCUGCGAUGAAAAGAUGACAGAGCAUAAAGAGAACAAAACCAGAAACCCAAAGCACCACAGUGUACUAUCAAUAACAUUGCAAUGGAUGGCCAGUGACCACCCAGAAACUGAAACAGAUUUCAAAUAUAUUUCUCUAUGUAUUAUUUUCUAUUUACAACUGUUAGAUGCACCUAGGUUGAUCCUUGUUUGAUUGUUUUGAGAGGGUAGGGAGGCGAAAGUCUUGAAUUUAGAUCCUCUGUUCUAGUGACUAGGUCAAGGGGUAAUGCAUGUCAUUUACCUAGGGAAGAGGGUAUUUUUGUUGGUGUUUUUUUUAUAUAUAUAUAUAUAUAUAUAUAUAGUUUCAGCCAGAGAAAUACCGUAAACAUGUAAGUUUGUUACAACUUUCUCAUUUCUGCAUAUGGAAUGGUAAGUGGGUUCCUCCUGUCUGGCAUUGAAAUGAAAGUCUCUAUCAGAUGCUCAGUCAAAAUCACCCCGAUCUGACAGCAUCUGUGCUGCUUCCAGCACUUUCAGACACAACGAGGCAGCCCAGCCCUGCUCCCUAUAGGGAAAGCCACAGUAGGUAGUAAAAGUGGGACCCAGUGCUGGUUCUUCUUUGCGAUAAUGCUCCAUCUCUUGCAGCACCUUGGCCAUUUGUGGAAGGGAAGGGAAGGGCUUUCUUGAGCGCCAUGUGAGAGCCAAGCCCCUCUUCCCUCUGGAACAAGCGGCUGCGGCUGCUCCGCCUGCCACCCGGCUUCGGCAAGCGCUAGCGGCGCUCGUUACUUUUGGCUUUCCACUUAAGAAGGAAGCUGCGAGUCCAACAAGUGGCCUUGUCAGAUCGAGCGAGUCUUGAGUUAUGAUGCAAAUAAUGGUGUGGCGGUGGAGUUUCUUUUUUCCUAGCGCUGAAUAUUUAGGAAGCAUCUUCUCAUAAAAAUUAUGGAUGUCUCAUUCUCACUCUCUGAGGCACAAAACAGUAAAUGAAUAGGCUUAACUAAUGUGCUUGUUACUUUUUUUUUUUUCCCC